UUUCCGUAGGUGAACCUGCGGAAGGAUCAUUAUUGAAUAAACCUGAUGUGGUUGUAGCUGGCCCUUUCGGGAGCAUGUGCGCACCCGUCGUCUUUAUCUUUCCACCUGUGCACCUUUUGUAGACCUGGAUGUAACACUUUCCGAGGCAACUCGGUCGGGAGGAAUGCUGUCAGCUUUCCUUGAAUGUCCUGGCCUAUGUUUUCAUAUACCCCAAAGAAUGUAACAGAAUGUAUUAUUGGGCCUUGUGCCUAUAAACUAUAUACAACUUUCAGCAACGGAUCUCUUGGCUCUC
rnacentral:misc_RNA from 1 species